UACGUAGGGUGCAAGCGUUGUCCGGAAUUAUUGGGCGUAAAGAGCUCGUAGGCGGUUUGUCGCGUCUGCUGUGAAAACUCGGGGCUUAACCCCGGGCGUGCAGUGGAUACGGGCAGGCUGGAGGCAGGCAGGGGAGAACGGAAUUCCCGGUGUAGCGGUGAAAUGCGCAGAUAUCGGGAGGAACACCGGUGGCGAAGGCGGUUCUCUGGGCCUGUACUGACGCUGAGGAGCGAAAGCGUGGGGAGCAAAUGGG
rnacentral:rRNA from 1 species